GACGAACGCUGGCGGCGUGCCUAACACAUGCAAGUCGAACGAGGUCCAUGCAGUGGCAACACUGCGGAAGACCUAGUGGCGAACGGGUGAGUAACACGUGAGGAACCUGCCCCGAAGACCGGGAUAACCCUCCGAAAGGAGAGCUAAUACCGGAUACCCCCACCUGGUCGCAUGGCCGGGUGAGGAAAUGGAUUCCGCUUCGGGAGGGCCUCGCGGCCUAUCAGCUAGUUGGUGAGGUAACGGCUCACCAAGGCAUCGACGGGUAGCUGGUCUGAGAGGACGAUCAGCCACACUGGGACUGAGACACGGCCCAGACUCCUACGGGAGGCAGCAGUGGGGAAUCUUGCGCAAUGGGCGAAAGCCUGACGCAGCAACGCCGCGUGGGGGAUGAAGGCUCUCGGGUUGUAAACCCCGUUUCACGCAGGGACGAAAUUGACGGUACCUGCAGAAGAAGCCCGGCUAACUACGUG
rnacentral:rRNA from 1 species